UGAAAUUCAGAUAAAGUGGAAGAAGACAUGUGUAUGCAGCUGAGAGGGUCGAUCGGUUUUGACGGUGGAAUAUAAACAAAAGUUUUAAAAUUUAGUGCCACUCUCUCCAUGCAACUCUUCUCUCCAAACUUCUGAGUUUUAUUUUCUCCUGCUUCUCUCUACAAAUUUUCUUUAGAAUUCCACUUAUUCAAGCCGUUUUGUUCUCUCAACAGUUCAAAUUUGAGUGUUUCUGCAGUUUGGAGCUGUUGAAUCUUUUCUCAGUUCCUGGUUUAAUCAUUGAUUUGUAGGCUGUGUUUGUGCUUGUGGGAUAGCCAAUUCAACAAAGGUUUUCCUUUGGUCCAACUAUUUUAAGAUUCAGCAGACAAAGGACUGAAUGAUAGAAAAGGCUUGAAGCUGAACCCACUUUGAAAGGGAACCUGUUGGGAUUUCAACCCCAGAGAGGAAAAAGAAGUAGAAGGGCACUUGGGGCAUGGGACCGAGAAUGAGG